GACGAACGCUGGCGGCGUGCUUAACACACGCAAGUCGAACGGAAAGGCCCUGCUUUUGUGGGGUGCUCGAGUGGCGAACGGGUGAGUAACACGUGAGUAACCUGCCCUUGACUUUGGGAUAACUUCAGGAAACUGGGGCUAAUACCGGAUAGGAGCUCCUGCUGCAUGGUGGGGGUUGGAAAGUUUCGGCGGUUGGGGAUGGACUCGCGGCUUAUCAGCUUGUUGGUGGGGUAGUGGCUUACCAAGGCUUUGACGGGUAGCCGGCCUGAGAGGGUGACCGGCCACAUUGGGACUGAGAUACGGCCCAGACUCCUACGGGAGGCAGCAGUGGGGAAUAUUGCACGAUGGGCGGAAGCCUGAUGCAGCAACGCCGCGUGCGGGAUGACGGCCUUCGGGUUGUAAACCGCUUUCGCCUGUGACGAAGCGUGAGUGACGGUAAUGGGUAAAGAAGCACCGGCUAACUACGUGCCAGCAGCCGCGGUGAUACGUAGGGUGCGAGCGUUGUCCGGAUUUAUUGGGCGUAAAGGGCUCGUAGGUGGUUGAUCGCGUCGGAAGUGUAAUCUUGGGGCUUAACCCUGAGCGUGCUUUCGAUACGGGUUGACUUGAGGAAGGUAGGGGAGAAUGGAAUUCCUGGUGGAGCGGUGGAAUGCGCAGAUAUCAGGAGGAACACCAGUGGCGAAGGCGGUUCUCUGGGCCUUUCCUGACGCUGAGGAGCGAAAGCGUGGGGAGCGAACAGGCUUAGAUACCCUGGUAGUCCACGCUGUAAACGGUGGGUACUAGGUGUGGGGUCCAUUCCACGGGUUCCGUGCCGUAGCUAACGCUUUAAGUACCCCGCCUGGGGAGUACGGCCGCAAGGCUAAAACUCAAAGGAAUUGACGGGGCCCCGCACAAGCGGCGGAGCAUGCGGAUUAAUUCGAUGCAACGCGUAGAACCUUACCUGGGUUUGACAUGGAUCGGGAGCGCUCAGAGAUGGGUGUGCCUCUUUUGGGGUCGGUUCACAGGUGGUGCAUGGCUGUCGUCAGCUCGUGUCGUGAGAUGUUGGGUUAAGUCCCGCAACGAGCGCAACCCUUGUUCACUGUUGCCAGCACGUUAUGGUGGGGACUCAGUGGAGACCGCCGGGGUCAACUCGGAGGAAGGUGGGGAUGACGUCAAGUCAUCAUGCCCCUUAUGUCCAGGGCUUCACGCAUGCUACAAUGGCUGGUACAGAGAGUGGCGAGCCUGUGAGGGUGAGCGAAUCUCGGAAAGCCGGUCUCAGUUCGGAUUGGGGUCUGCAACUCGACCUCAUGAAGUCGGAGUCGCUAGUAAUCGCAGAUCAGCAACGCUGCGGUGAAUACGUUCCCGGG
rnacentral:rRNA from 1 species